rnacentral:rRNA from 1 species
UACAGAGGUCUCAAGCGUUGUUCGGAUUCAUUGGGCGUAAAGGGUGUGUAGGUGGCGCUGUAAGUCGGGUGUGAAAUUUCGGAGCUUAACUCCGAAACUGCAUUCGAUACUGCGGUGCUUGAGGACUGGAGAGGAGACUGGAAUUCCUGGUGUAGCGGUGGAAUGCGCAGAUAUCAGGAGGAACACCGGUGGCGAAGGCGGGUCUCUGGGCAGUAACUGACGCUGAGGAGCGAAAGCGUGGGGAGCGAACAGG